rnacentral:misc_RNA from 1 species
UAUAAGGGUUAAUUAAAAAUUUCUAAAAAACUGCUAUAUAAAACAUCAACUAGAAUGGACUUAAUCAGUCAACGGGUUAUUUUGCUUCUAAAAGGUUGUACAUUUUUUUCAUAAAACAAAAAUGAAAAUAUUUAUUGCAAUUUUAGCUUUAGUGGCCUGUGUUUUCGCCGAAGAAUGGACCGUUAAAACUGGCGCACAACUUAAGGAAAUUCGCAAUGAAUGCCUAAAAGAACAUCCUCUUACCACUGAACAAAUGAACAAAAUGUCAAAUUUCGAAUUCCCCAAUGAGGAAGGUGUUCGCCAAUAUCUUCUCUGUUCUGCCGUGAAAAUUGGCAUCUACUGUACUCAUAUGGGCUAUCAUACCGAUCGUAUUGCUAAACAAUUUAAAAUGGACUUGGAUGAGGAAGAAGUAAAAAAAUUGGCCGAUGAUUGUGUAGCCAAACACCCCAAGGGUGAUAAACCCCACGAUGUUGUCGCUUUUGAAAAUCAUACUUGUUUCAUGAGCACUAUUGUUGGUGAUAAAAUCAAGGACUAUUUGAAGAAACGUCAUGAAAGUGCUUAAAAUUAUUAAAAAAUUCAUUUUUUUAUGUAGAAAUAAAAAAUUAAAAAAUAAACGUAUUUUAGUUAAUAGUAUCAAAAAGAUUUUUUUUAUUUAGUUGCCGACACUACAAGACUACAAGUUAAUUUUGAAUUAUUUGUCUAACUCUUAAGAGCAAUUACAUAAAAAACAUACAUUUCUAGAGCAAAAUCUCAUUGAUACUCUAACGAUUGCAUUUUAAUUUUUUCCGCAAAUAAAAUUGACAACUCAUUCUAUAUGUUUAUUGCUUUGAUUAGAAGAAACAAAGAAACAUAUGGAAAAAUUAUUAUUGUAAUAUUUUCAAACAAUUAAUUAUUUACAGAAGCCGGCUAGAUCUUUAGUCGUUCUGUCGUCAAAACAUAAACAAAACAUUUCUUAUCAAAAUCAACUUAGAAAAACUUAAAGUGAGUGCACGGUUUUAUAUACACACAUGUCUAUAGAUUUGUGUUAGAAUAUUUGUAUAUUUAUUGAAUAGAAAACGUUUAAGCACCCCUUUAAAUCUUUGCGUUAUCGGUUGUGACCCACCGAAUAAAAUAAGAAGAAAAUAAACAAAAAUACUUUUAAAAUUAUACUUCCACAUAAUAAUUUUAGAAGUAUUUUGUGGGAAAUCAUCACUGGUGUUUAGUUUAAAUAUUAAGCGAUCUUCUAUUGAAUAUAGUAUUCGGCGCUACUCUUCUUAUCAAUAUUAUUAGCUCGUAUUACCUCUGUCCAUUUUAAGCUGGCAUUUGGACCUAAAGUAUGUUUGUAUAAGUAAACCACACGUAUGUAUACAUCCAUAUGUAUGUAUACAUAUAGUAUUAUCAGUAACUAAUAUAUGGACAGACGUGUCUAUUAUGUUUUUAAAACUUAGAAUAAAAGCAUAUGUAUAUAAAAUAUCGCUCAAAGCAGAUUUUAAUCACUCAAGUAGAAAUCGUUGUUGGCAAAGGUUGUUUGUGUUCUUAAAGUGCAGUUUAAAAUUAAAAAAAAAAAAAAAAAAAUCCAAAAUGAAAGUAUUUGUUGCAAUUUUAGCUUUAGUGGCUUGUGUUUGUGCCGAAGAAUGGACCAUGAAAAAUAGCGAACAAC